AGAACCAAAACAUAGCAUCAUACCAGACACUUUGAAGGAAACAAUUCCAUCCCAGCUGAAGCUAAGGCAGAUGGCCAUGAUCCCGCACCUUGGAUUUGUCCCCAGGCAUCAGGAGCUGCUCAGUACCUGUCCUGCGUGUGGCUACACAGGGUUUUUAUAGGAAUUACAGAUCCACUCAGGGCAGCCAAACCAUUCACACAGUGACUCAUGGAGAUGGAGAUGUGGAUAAGAGCUAGCUGCCCGUCUGUCCACAAGUGACUGAAGCUGGAGAAAGCAACUGGUUCCUUCCUGCCUGACAGAAGAUACGUUUGCUCCUCCAAGUCAAAGCAAUAUUGUGCUUCCCUCGUUCAUUCUUUUUGUGAUUUUUGUUUUGUGUUUUCUAAAUCUUGCACGUACACUGGAGCUAACUUUCUGUUAACAAUGUGUUUUGAUGGCUCUGCUAUAAGCUCUGAAAUAAUUGCGCUGGUUUUACAUGUUACAAUAAUUUGAACAGGAACAAAAUGUUUUUUUCUUCACAGGCAAAGCUAUGGUGAAUUGUUUGGUGAAGUUCCACCUAUCUUGGAGGCUGGGUAGACCAGCAUCUCUGCCAUUAGUUCCGUGCCUGAUUUACAGACCACCUGCCAGUGAUCUUUGGCUGUGUCUGUGCAUCAGAAAUGUUUGUGCAGGGAAUCAGUCAGUUUCAGAGGAAAGAAUGGAAUCAAGUGGAAUCAAGGGCAGCUUUCAACUAUGAUCAACGUGAAGUCCAUUUACAGAAGGUUUGAAAAGACAGAAAACAUCUCUUUCGUGCACCAAACUGAAUGCACAACUUCAUCAUGAAAAGAGGUGCUUCCAAACAUGAAUCUCUCCUUGAGUUAGAAGUCAACUGAAAAAUCAUAGCAAGGAUGUUGGACAUCUAGAAACCAGAGCAAAAACACUUUCAUACCAUUGGGGAGUUAUGGUAUGAAGCAUCUGAACUUUACAGCAAACACUAUUUCUUGCUCACAGGGUACAUUUCUUGUUUUGAAAAACAUAUAUAGCUUGUGUAAUAUG
rnacentral:lncRNA from 1 species